rnacentral:rRNA from 1 species
UUAAGCUACAAAGAGCGUAGGGAGAAUGCCUAGGUACCAAGAGCCGAUGAAGGACGUGAUAAGCUGCGAAAAGCUACGGGGAGGAGCAAAUAUCCAUCAAUCCGUAGAUGUCCGAAUGAGGGAACUCAUAUGGCAAAAAGAAGCCAUAUAUCUAUGUACAAGUAAAGUAGUACAUAAGAAGGGAACGUGGGGAACUGAAACAUCUAAGUACCCAUAGGAAGAGAAAAUAAACAAUGAUUUCUGUAGUAGUGGCGAGCGAACCAGAAAGAGCCCAAACCAUAAGUAGAAAUACAUAUGGGGUACGGACUGCAUAAUCCACUAAUUAAUUGAAGGAGAAUCGUCUGGGAAGGCGAACCAAAGAAGGUGAAAGUCCUGUAAAGGAGAGAGAUUAGGGAGGCAGGAUCCAGAGUAGUGCGAGACACGUGGAAUCUCGUAUGAAGAUGUGGGGCCCACCCCAUAAGGCUAAAUACUACUUGGUGACCAAUAGAGAUUAGUACCGUGAGGGAAAGGUGAAAAGAACCCCGGGAGGGGAGUGAAAUAGAACCUGAAACCCUAUGCUUACAAGCAGACAGAGCACGUUAAGGUGUGAUGUCGUACUUUUUGUAGAACGGUCCGGCGAGUUAUUGUAUAUGGCAAGGUUAAGCAUUGAGUAAGAUGUGGAGCCGAAGCGAGAGCGAGUCUGAAAAGGGCGAAUAAGUCAUAUAUAAUAGACCCGAAACCGAGUGACCUAACCAUGGUCAGGCUGAAGGUUGAGUAAAAUCAAUUGGAGGGCCGAACUCAUAGACGUUAAAAAGUCUCGGGAUGAACUGUGGUUAGCGGAGAAAUUCCAAUCGAACUCGGAGAUAGCUGGUUCUCCUCGAAAUAGCUUUAGGGCUAGCCUUGAGAAAAAAGAUAUGUGGGGGUAGAGCACUGAAGGUGCUAGGGGCCUCAACCAGGUUACUGAACACUAUCAAACUACGAAUACCAUAUAGAAAUCUCAGGAGUCAGACUGCGGGAGCUAAGUUCCGUGGUCAAAAGGGAAAGAGCCCAGAUCGUCAAUUAAGGUCCCAAAGAUAUAGCUAAGUGGGAAACGAUGUGAAAUUGCGUAAACAACCAGGAUGUUGGCUUAGAAGCAGCCAUACAUUUAAAGAGUGCGUAAUAGCUCACUGGUCGAGUGAAUUUGCGCGGAAAAUUACCGGGGCUAAGCUAUACACCGAAAUUGCGGAUACAGUGCAUUUAACAGUGUAUGUUAAGUGGAGAAGCUAAAAGAAAGAUAAAGAAGAAAGAAACUAACUAACUAACAUAUAAUGUUAAGUGUACUGUGUGGUAGAGGAGCAUUCUAUAGUAGGAAGAAGUAUGAUCGAAAGGACAUAUGGACGAGAUAGAAGAGAGAAUGCCGGAAUAAGUAGCGAGAGCAAAGUGAGAAUCUUUGCCGUCGAAAGUCUAAGGUUUCCUGGGGAAGGUUCGUCCGCCCAGGGUAAGUCGGGACCUAAGGUGAGGCUGAAAAGCGUAGCCGAUGGACAGCAGGUAUAAAAUUCCUGCACUACCGAAUACUUAAAAGAUUCAAAUGACACAGUAGAGGAAGGGAAUCCAGGAAGAGGAAAAACUGGAGCCGAAAGGCAUAGUGAAAAUAACAAGUAAUGAAGUCCCAAGAAUCACACUGGCGAGAAAAGUUUGAAGAAAUUGUAUAAGGUACCCGUACCGCAAACCGACACAGGUAGAUGAGGAGAGGAUCCUAAGACGAACGGGAGAAGCAUUGUUAAGGAACUCGGCAAAAUGACCCCGUAACUUCGGGAGAAGGGGAACCUAGGUAAAACUAGGUCGCAGAGAAAAGGCCCAAGCAACUGUUUAACAAAAACACAGGUUUCUGCUAAAUCGAAAGAUGAAGUAUAGGAGCUGACGCCUGCCCAGUGCUGGAAGGUUAAGGGGAAGGGUUAGGAGCAAUCCGAAGCCUAGAACUAAAGCCCCAGUGAACGGCGGCCGUAACUAUAACGGUCCUAAGGUAGCGAAAUUCCUUGUCAGGUAAG